UCAUCUUCGGGGGUAGAGCACUGUUUCGGCUAGGGGGUCAUCCCGACUUACCAACCCGAUGCAAACUACGAAUACCGAAGAAUGUUAUCACGGGAGACACACGGCGGGUGCUAACGUCCGUCGUGAAGAGGGAAACAACCCAGACCGCCAGCUAAGGUCCCAAAGUCAUGGUUAAGUGGGAAACGAUGUGGGAAGGCACAGACAGCCAGGAUGUUGGCUUAGAAGCAGCCAUCAUUUAAAGAAAGCGUAAUAGCUCACUGGUCGAGUCGGCCUGCGCGGAAGAUGUAACGGGGCUAAACCAUGCACCGAAGCUGCGGCAGCGACACUAUGUGUUGUUGGGUAGGGGAGCGUUCUGUAAGCCUGCGAAGGUGUGCUGUGAGGCAUGCUGGAGGUAUCAGAAGUGCGAAUGCUGACAUAAGUAACGAUAAAGCGGGUGAAAAGCCCGCUCGCCGGAAGACCAAGGGUUCCUGUCCAACGUUAAUCGGGGCAGGGUGAGUCGACCCCUAAGGCGAGGCCGAAAGGCGUAGUCGAUGGGAAACAGGUUAAUAUUCCUGUACUUGGUGUUACUGCGAAGGGGGGACGGAGAAGGCUAUGUUAGCCGGGCGACGGUUGUCCCGGUUUAAGCAUGUAGGCUGAUUGUCCAGGCAAAUCCGGAUAAUCAAGGCUGAGGUGUGAUGACGAGGCACUACGGUGCUGAAGUAACAAAUGCCCUGCUUCCAGGAAAAGCCUCUAAGCAUCAGGUAACAUCAAAUCGUACCCCAAACCG
rnacentral:rRNA from 1 species